CCACCCUUAUAACUGGCUUUCUUCAUGGUUCUCUAAAAAUUAAGGCUUUCCUUGCGAGACGAGAAUCUUCACCAUCUGAAUCAUGAAAAUCAACUCUGAUAGUGUUGCCGCUAUGGGGGAAUGCACCAUUAGGAGUGACUGACUUAGAUCAGACUGGUCGCUGAUUCAUCCAUCCUUCUGGCGGGAGUUAGGUUAACGGACCCCUCCCUUAACUCUAGUGGAAUGCACAGCAGGUGGAAGAAGACUUUUCACAUUGUGUCGGAAAUGCUGGCAAAAGUGGAGAUAGGAGGAGUGCAGAAAUAUAUUAAAGUUCCACAGACUUAUGAAGUCUUUCAAUUUGAGAACUUCCUUCAAGAAGCCAGACAGUUUCAGUGAGGGCCAGCUCUCAGUCACUGAUGUGUCACGAACAGAGGUGGAUGGAGAUGUCUUUGAUGAACUUGUCAAGUCAGGUGUCUUCACCUUCAAGGUCCCUUUACCAGUAAUGGUUAAGGAUGUGAAGGCAUGGGAAAAGGCAGGGGUUUGAUGAG
ensembl:lncRNA